GGCUGCACCCGGAGAAGCCCUGACCCAUCACCGAAGGACGCGGGUUCGAUUCCCGCCACCUCCACCA
rnacentral:tRNA from 1 species